CCUCGGGAGGCAGCAGUGGGGAAUAUUGGACAAUGGGGGCAACCCUGAUCCAGCAAUGCCGCGUGUGUGAUGAAGGCCCUAGGGUUGUAAAGCACUUUCACUGGUGAAGAUGAUGACGGUAGCCAGAGAAGAAGCCCCGGCUAACUUCGUGCCAGCAGCCGCGGUAAUACGAAGGGGGCGAGCGUUGUUCGGAAUUACUGGGCGUAAAGGGCGCGUAGGCGGUCUUUUAAGUUAGGCGUGAAAGCCCCGGGCUCAACCUGGGAACUGCGCUUAAUACUGGAAGACUAGAAAACGGAAGAGGGUAGUGGAAUUCCCAGUGUAGAGGUGAAAUUCGUAGAUAUUGGGAAGAACACCAGUGGCGAAAGCGGCUACCUGGUCCGAUUUUGACGCUGANGCGCGAAAGCGUGGGGAGCAAACAGGAUUAGAUACCCUGGUAGUCCACGCCGUAAAC
rnacentral:rRNA from 1 species